GCCUGGUUAGCUUAGUUGGUAGUGCGUCUGCCUUGUAAGCGCUCGGCCGCGGGUUCGAUUCCCGCCCGGGGCG
rfam:Asian citrus Psyllid, Diaphorina citri - Florida Strain, whole genome shotgun sequence.